UACGAAGGGGGCUAGCGUUGUUCGGAGUUACUGGGCGUAAAGCGCACGUAGGCGGCUUUCUAAGUCAGGGGUGAAAUCCUGAGCUCAACUCCAGAACUGCCUUUGAUACUGGAGAGCUUGAGUCCGGAAGAGGUGAGUGGAACUCCGAGUGUAGAGGUGAAAUUCGUAGAUAUUCGGAAGAACACCAGUGGCGAAGGCGGCUCACUGGUCCGGUACUGACGCUGAUGUGCGAAAGCGUGGGGAGCAAACAGG
rnacentral:rRNA from 1 species